rnacentral:rRNA from 1 species
ACCUACGGGAGGCAGCAGUGGGGAAUAUUGGACAAUGGGGGAAACCCUGAUCCAGCGACGCCGCGUGAGUGAAGAAGUAUUUCGGUACGUAAAGCUCUAUCAGCAGGAAAGAAAAUGACGGUACCUGACUAAGAAGCCCCGGCUAACUACGUGCCAGCAGCCGCGGUAAUACGUAUGGGGCAAGCGUUAUCCGGAUUUACUGGGUGUAAAGGGAGCGUAGGCGGCAGGGCAAGCCUGAUGUGAAAGCCCGGGGCUCAACCCCGGGACUGCAUUGGGAACUGCCCUGCUGGAGUGCCGGAGGGGCA